GAUGAACGCUGGCGGCGUGCCUAACACAUGCAAGUCGAGCGAACCCUUCGGGGUUAGCGGCGGACGGGUGAGUAACGCGUGGGUAACCUACCCUGUACACACGGAUAACAUACCGAAAGGUAUGCUAAUACGAGAUAAUAUAUUUUAAUCGCAUGGUUAAGAUAUCAAAGCUCCGGCGGUACAGGAUGGACCCGCGUCUGAUUAGCUAGUUGGUGAGGUAAUGGCUCACCAAGGCGACGAUCAGUAGCCGACCUGAGAGGGUGAUCGGCCACACUGGAACUGAGACACGGUCCAGACUCCUACGGGAGGCAGCAGUGGGGAAUAUUGCACAAUGGGCGAAAGCCUGAUGCAGCAACGCCGCGUGAGCGAUGAAGGCCUUCGGGUCGUAAAGCUCUGUCCUCAAGGAAGAUAAUGACGGUACUUGAGGAGGAAGCCCCGGCUAACUAC
rnacentral:rRNA from 1 species